GUUGAAACACCGGUUCUUGUACAAUCACCAAAGUUAAGCAACUCCAAGCCUGGUCAGUCCCUAGAUGGGUGAUCAUUUGGGAAGACCACGUACUGUAAG